GAUGAACGCUAGCUACAGGCGUAACACAUGCAAGUCGAGGGGUAACGAGAGGAAAGCUUGCUUUCCUUGUCGACGACCGGCGCACGGGUGAGUAACGCGUAUCCAACCUGCCCCCAACUAGGGAAUAACCUUGCGAAAGUAAGACUAAUACCCUAUAAUUUCCUCAGACGUCAUCUGACGAGGAAUAAAGAUUUAUCGGUUGUGGAUGGGGAUGCGUCUGAUUAGCUUGUUGGCGGGGUAACGGCCCACCAAGGCGACGAUCAGUAGGGGUUUUGAGAGGAAGGUCCCCCACAUUGGAACUGAGACACGGUCCAAACUCCUACGAGAGGCAGCAGUGAGGAAUAUUGGUCAAUGGGCGGAAGCCUGAACCAGACAAGUAGCGUGCAGGAUGACGGCCCUAUGGGUUGUAAACUGCUUUUAUACGGGAAUAAUAGCACCUACGUGUAGGUGUAUGAAGGUACUGUACGAAUAAGCAUCGGCUAACUCCGUGCCAGCCGCCGCAGUAACAC
rnacentral:rRNA from 1 species